rnacentral:rRNA from 1 species
UCCUUGACAGGUAAAUUCCGUCCAGCAUGAGCGGUGUAUCGACUUCCUCACUGUCACUAACGUGGUCUCUCAGAAAUUGAGUCAUCCUUGAUUACGAGGAACCCAACGGCCUGACGGUAAGAC